AAUGACCAAAUCUGACGGUAAAUCAUACUUCCUGCACUGAGGAGGGUUACCAGAAUCUACCCAAGUUACGUAGCUAACUAUUCUAUUUCAGGCAGGACGCUGUCCGCCUCAAACAUCUUUUUGCCAUGCUUGCAUGGUUUGCCGACUGUCGCUGGCUUCAAGGAGUCCUUCCCAGCUGAUCUUGCAGUGAAGCCGCCGUGGCAUCGGCAGGCCGUGAAGAGAAGCCGCGGGCUGGCUGAGAGGACAGGCUGAUGGCGAGCGAGGACACGAAGAAGCUCCUCAGGUCCUGUCUUGUCUCCACGAAACGAGGCCUGACAUUGAGACAACUCGCCAGGGAUUUCGAGGACCUGGUGGGAUCGCCAAUACCGUUCCAAGAGCGUGGCUUCCAAACGCUGGAUCUGUUUCUCCGUUCCAUACCGGAUACAGUGCGGUUGACCAAAGAUGGAACGGAAACGCUGGUGGAACACGUACCGGACCAAAGCGUUGCUCACAUUGCUUCUCUUGUGAGUCGACAGAAGAGCAAACAAAAACCGAAGGCCGGACUGAAGAUAAAGAACAUAAACAUCAAGAAGCACUCUGGAGCAGCUCAGCCGAAAGGUGCCGGUCGG